rnacentral:rRNA from 1 species
UACAGAGGGUGCGAGCGUUAAUCGGAAUUACUGGGCGUAAAGCGUGCGUAGACGGUUGUUUAAGUCAGAUGUGAAAGCCCCGGGCUCAACCUGGGAAUUGCAUUUGAGACUGAAUAGCUAGGGUGCGGAAGAGGGAAGCGGAAUUUCCGGUGUAGCAGUGAAAUGCGUAGAUAUCGGAAGGAACAUCAGUGGCGAAAGCGGCUUCCUGGUCCAGCACCGACGUUCAGGUACGAAAGCGUGGGGAGCAAACAGG